CUAGAGCAGGAACUUUAUCUGCCUUACUGUUGACGGAAUCCCAGGGUUCUAAAAUGGUGCCUGGCCCAUAAUUGGAGAUGUCUUAUGCUGUUGACACCUGUUGCAUAAAUGUCUUUUGAGAGUUUUCAUAUCUGGGGGAGGGGGUCCCACUAGGGUAUAAAUUUCCCAAAGCUAGAGUUGUGUUGUAGUGAACAACUCUGGGUACCUAGAAUUUUGUGGAAUGGUAAUGUAUGCUAAUUUCCCAGGGAAGGUGGAUAUGGGAAUCAUGCUUUGGACCCAAUUUCCCUGAGAGCUAUGAGUUCAUAGAUUUAAGGGUCAGUGGUGUGGUGGAGAUCUGAGAAAGGAGUCCUAGAAAUAAAUAAUACAUGCUAAUGUGGCCUUGGAAAGGGAACCUCCAAGAUGGGCUUUUUCUGGGUGAUCUCCAACAUAGUAGUCCAUUGCAUGGCCUUUUGCAAUCUUUGAAAAUCCAGGCUCUGGCAUUUUCUGUACCUGCAACAAGGAAUUUAGCUUUCCCCAGCCUCUGACUCCUGGCCUAUAGAAAAAAGAGAACAAGAUAAUUUGCUUCCCAGAAUUUAAUUGAGAUAGUUCACACAAAGCUCUCAGCACACAGUAAACACCCAACAAUGCUUGUCAUGCUGCCAUAAAUGAGAAUUAUUUCCAGAAUCUCAGUUCUUCUUUUUAUGAAUGGGGAUGACAAUUCCUGCCUAUAGACCUCAUGGGGUUGUUUUUGAAGCUCUAACAAGCUAAUAGGCCAGAAUGUGCUCUGAGGAGGAACAAAAGCAGGACAAAUACAGGAGGAUGUUAUGAUUUGGAUUUUUUUAAUAAGAUAUUUGGCUUCCUGCAGACUGAAUUAUGCAGGCUCAAAGGAACCUGGCUUUGCAACUGAGGAUCAGUUCUCCCCUGCCUGGAGCUUCAUUUGGAUUCAAGGGAUGGCCAUCUCCUCUUUGGACACACUGGGCAGCUGUUGAUAGGGACUACACAAUGCACAGCUACCUCCAGGCCAGACAGAACCCUGGCUCUGCAAACCCAGCCUGGGAGGUCAAGCCAAAGGAGCACAAGAAUGAAGACACAGCCUGAGAAAGAUCCCAAGAUGAUGCAGCCUCCAAGAAGAAUGUGAGAGUUGUUAAGUGUAAGCAGGCAUGCAGACACAAUGCCACGUGCAUGUCCCAGGUCAGCCCAUGUGACCUCAUGUUCCUGCCUCUGGAUGGAAACAGCAAAUGUAAGCAGGCGAGUUUGUCAGUGGCAAGAUCAUUGCUCCAAUGCAUUCUUAGUCUUGAUGCCAGAGCAUGUUAUGGACCCCAAGUUGGGGGUUCAAGCUGAGACUCCAGGACACUGGAGGUGUUUAUGAUUAAUUUCCUACCCUGAUUGCAGAGCAAGGCCAUCUGGACUUGGAUCUGUGUCUAAAUAACUGUACCCAAACUGGAAAAUUCAAAUGGUGCUAAAACUCAGAAUCCACUUCCCAGAGGUAGGAGUGGGUAAUGGACAGGUCAUUUCCAGGGCUGGAUAUCUUCCCCAGGGGGCCUAGUCCUGCUCAGAACUACAAUGAGGAAUAUUUAUUUCUCCCUCUUUUCCUUCCUACCUUCCAUCCUUUUACAUUUAAUAAAUACCUGAAAGAUACCUACUCUACAGUGUCCUAAACCUUUGAAAGUACACGUUUAUAGAAUACCAACUCUACCUUCAGGAUGUUUGCUACUCAGACAGAUGGGACAAUGUGUAAAAAUACUGAUUGCUGAGACUCCCUCUGUGAUGGUUCAUGGGUCAACUUGACUGGGCUACAGUUUGUGACCAAACAUUAUUCUGAAUGUUUCUGUGAGUGUCUUUCUGGAUGAGAUUAACAUGUCAUUUAGUGGACUUUGAGGAAAGCAAAUUGCCAGUCAUAAUGAGGGUGGGCCUCAUCCAGUCACUUAAUGCCUGAACAGAACAAGAAUGACCCUCCUUGGGCAAGAAGGAACACUGCCUUGGAUGGCCUUCUGACUUGAAUUGCAACAUUGGUUCCCAGAGAGGAGCUGUCAGUCCACCCUGCAAAUUAUGGGCAUUCUAGCCUGCAUAACGUACCAGCCAACUCAUUAUUUAAACCUCUUUCUCUACAUAUACACAUCCAAGUGAUUCUUUUUCUUUGGAGUACUCCAAGUCCUCCAAUGUCACACCCUUCAAGGGUCUCUGUGCCGGUAUCUCCUUCCCCAGCUUCCUAGUGGCUUCCAGGGUUCUCUUACUGAAGCACAGAUCUGCAGAUAUUGUUCUGCUUACAGUUCUUCCAUGCACCUACCUUCCCCACCACUGUCUCCCAAACCUCAGCUGUCCAUGCUCCAUCAUCUUCAUGAUUGUUCUCAGACUUUCUCAUUGAUGAAACCCAAAGGAGUGAAAUAGACUGAGAAAGAACUAAUUUUUUUUCACUUUAUUGUGUAACUAGAUACUAAAUUUGCAUCUUGGGUACCAUCUGGGAAUGUAUUCUUUCCCAUGUUUGGGAGACAUCUAGUUACAAAAAAAAAAAUUAAUUCUUCUUUGACAUGGCCUCAGAGGCCCUUGUGCAUUGAUUAAUUAUUUAUUAAAUGCUGAUAGGCACUGAACAAUUCAUCCCAGCCAUGUGGAAUUGUUUGUCCCUACCCCCUAAAUGACACCUAUAUCCUGUACCUUUAUUUUAUGGUUUAGAUAUGAGCUGUCCCCUAAAGACUCAUGUGUCAAAAACUUGAUCCCCAGUGCAACAAUGUUUAGAGGUGGGGCUUUGGGGAAGGACUGGAAUCAUGAGAGUUCUGACCUGAUAGUGGAUUAAUCCAUUUGUAGCUGAAUGGAUUACUGGGAGGUUGUGGAGGUAGGACCUAGUUGAAGGCGUGGGUCCUUGGGGCAUGCUCUUGGGGAUUGUGUCUUGUCCUUGGCUCCCUUUCCCUCUUUCUCUGCUCCCUUCUCUAAUGAGCUGAGCAGCUUUCCUUCACCACAUCCUUCUGACAUGAUAUUCUUCAGCCUCAUCUCAAGCCCAAAGCAAUGUAGCCAGCCAACCAUUGACUGAAACUUCUGAUACCAUAAGCCAAAAUAAAUCCUUCCUCCUCUAAAUUGUUUACUUCAGAUAUUUUGGUCAUAGUGAUAAAAAGCUGACUACUACACAGUUUCUGCCUUUCUUCUGUGAUUCCUGGAGGACUUGUUCUGACACCUUAAAAUACAGCUGCCUUCUUUGAGAAACUGUCCUCCAAGUACUCUCCAGCACUUCAUGCUCUCUCAGUAUUAGUAUUUAUCAUUGUUACACCAAAGGUAAGUGCUUUUUCUUUGUGGCUAGAGCUCAAGGGUUUGGGGACAUGUUUUGUUUAUUGUUGGGGGCUCUCAAAGGAGUCCCCCAGUAGUAACUACCUAUCUUAACUACCUGGAUUUUGCACACAAUGAGAAAUAAAAGAGGAACUAAGGAGCUCACUAUCACUUUUUUUUUAAUGGAUAAAAGCUAAAUUAGAGAACCUGGAUGUUGCACAAGGCCAUAUGGUCCUUCUGAAUUAAUCCAAAUUAGAUGGUCAUACAAAAACCACUCAAGACCAGUCACAGGGUAGAAGAGCUGAGAAGUGGCUCAGUUAAUUUGCUCCUUGAAGGCUGUUCUCUUUCAGGAGAAAUAAGGGCAAGCUGGGUUCUACAAGCCUGUUUUUUUCUUCCCACGCUACCAAUCAAUGGUUCUUAGAAUCCCUCUUAUCCACCCACAGAAUGAGGCAAGGGGAUUUCAGAUAAACUCUCAGAUGGCUUAAGCCAUAAAAAUUUAGAAAAUCAGAAAGAUGGGACCUCAGACAUUAGUUAUCAGGACUAACCCUCUCAUUUCACAUAUGGGGAAACCAAGACCCAGGGAGAAGGGACUUACUUAAGUCACUUAAUUCUCGCCUGAAUAAUCUGUAACUUCAACCUGUGGUUUGCAUGACAGAUACUAUUGAUAAUUUGUGACACAAUUCCCAAAGGCAAAAAAAAAAAAAAA